rnacentral:rRNA from 1 species
AACGAACGCUGGCGGCAUGCCUAACACAUGCAAGUCGAACGCGACCUUCGGGUCUCGUGGCCUACGGGUGCGUAACGCGUGGGAACCUGCCCUUAAGUUCGGCAUAACUCCCCGAAUGGGAUGCUAAUACCGCUUAAUGUCUUCGGAACAAAGAUUCAUCGCCUUUGGAUGUGCCCGCGUUGGAUUAGCUAGAUGGUAGCGUAAAAGCCUACCAAGUCGACGAUCCAUAGCUGGUCUGAGAGGAUGAUCAGCCACACUGGGACUGAGACACGGCCCAGACUCCUACGGGAGGCAGCAGGGGAGAAUAGUGGACGAUGGGCGAAAGCCUGAACCAGCAAUGCCGCGUGAGUGAUGAAGGCCGGAGGGUUGUAAAGCUCUUUUACCCGAGAAGAUAAUGACAGUACCGGGAGAAUAAGCUCCGGCUAACUCCGUG